GGGGAUUUAGCUCAGUGGUAGAGCACUUGUCUAGCAGGCACAAGGCCCUGGGUUCGGUCCCCAGCUCCG
rnacentral:tRNA from 1 species